AGGCUGAGUGGUGAAUCCCCAUCCGACCCUCCCUGAAGCACAAUAAAGAAGCACCAGCAACGCGUUUUAAACGGCCUUUCGUUAUCCACGGCAAACUCGCUGAUUCAGGAUCAGCUCAGGCAGAGAGACACGCUUCACUUUGGCGCAGGUGAAUGUUCCUUUGUGAGGUAUGGAUGGAGUCUUUUGUUGCACAGAGACAAGCAGCACAGGAGCGGGCAGAAGGGCGUGGAUGUAAACUGAAUCCCUCCCAUAGCUGCUGAGGACAGUGAAACGCGCUGAGCUUCAGGUGGCGAAGAGGAGGAGGUGGAAUAAGAGAGGAAUAAAGACGCGCAGCUCAGCGCCAGAGCCAUGGCUCCACAGAGGUUCGUCGGAAAGCUCGCUUCACGGGAGCGGGUUGUAGUGCAGGAUGAGUGGUCCCCCGCGCUCCAGCGAGUGUGAGAGCAGGAGGAACAUCACCUGACAGGCGGCCCUCCCCUCGGGGGACACAAGCAGACACGCUCGCGCCUCUCAGGCUGGAAACUGGAGGGCAAAAAACGGCUCAGAUCCUACAGCGCGCCUCCUUUUCCAGAACUCUCCUCUUCCUCACUUUCUCGUGGAAAGAGAUUUCACUUUCUCUGCGGCCAAACUUGGGAAAACUUUGGCCCCCGGAUUGAGCCUGGCGCUGUAGCGUCCAUGCCGGGAGCGCCGUGAGCGUCGUGCGCCCGGCUGCGGAGAUUGGAGAACUGCGCUCUCGCUGUGAUAUUAUUCAAAGUCCCGCAAAGUCUUUCGCAGUCCAGGGGCCACUGCAGCGAAGAUGCCAGUCCGGAGGGGCCAUGUGGCUCCGCAGAACACCUUCCUGGAUACCAUCAUCAGGAAAUUUGACAGUCAAAGUCGCAAGUUUAUCAUAGCCAACGCCAGAGUGGAGAACUGCGCCAUCAUUUUCUGUAACGAUGGCUUCUGCCACAUGUGUGGCUACUCCAGGGCUGAGAUCAUGCAGAAGCCAUGCGCGUGCAACUUCCUGUAUGGACCUGACACCAAGCGACUGGCUAUUGCCCAGAUGGCGCAGGCCCUCCUGGGGUCGGAGGAGAGGAAGGUGGAGAUCAACCUUUACCGAAAAGACGGUAGGAAAAACCAAAGGAUGCUGUGCUCGUCAUUUCAGAGCUGUUUCUGCUCAUGUGUGCACCUGUUUCUGGCCUGAGGGAGAUGAAACUGCAUUUAAGGGAAUACAAGCAGAUCAUUUCUAAUAGUGGCAGAAGAGUAAAGCUUGGUGUCAACUUUGUGUUGGGGACAGAAGGUGUGGUGUGCCAGAGAGGUUAGCAUGCUAGCUGCUUUAAUUGAGAUAGGGUUAGGGGGUUAACCCUAACCCUAACCCUAACCCUAACCCUUGAGCAGUAAUACAUGUUUGUUAGGUAUAUGUAGAAACAUGUGGUAUAUUCAUUGCUAUUGUACUAUAUUCCAGAAUAAGAGAAGAGUCAUUUGUGAUUAAUUUUCCAGAAGUCCAUAAAAGGAAUCAGACGUGCAGAUUAUCCAGAAUGAGAUCUCCAUAUAGGAUUGGUCAGGGCUCAGGUAACAACAUCUGCCUCUGCUGCCACUGUUGGCUGAAGACAAAGGAACAGGAAAGGGGGAAGGUGUGUCUGGAGACAGUGGGAAAACUGGUAAAGGGAGAGGAUCUGAUUUGAUGGAGAGAAGGAAGGUAUAUGUGUGUGCAAGGUCCUUCACUAGGCUGAAAGGAAGUAAACACUCCACCACGGUGCAGAUAGGAAGAGAGACGAGUAAUGUUGGAGGAAGAGUAUCUGAACAGUCUUGAGGUGAAGAGAGACGUGAUUGUGAGGCUGAAGCUGGAAAUUGAAGGUGUGAUGUUAAAUGCUGUCAGUGUGUAUGCCCGACAAGUUGGAUGUCAUUUAGACGAUGAGGUAAAGAUGGUGUUAAAGAGACAAAUGCAGAAGGACAGAUAGUGUGUGUCUUAUAGAAAUGGCUGUGGUGAACACAGAAGAAGAAGAGGGAGGAACACAGGCUGACAAAUGAUACUGGAAGAUGGUGCACACAUUUAGAUUAUAUCUUGUGCAGAAGGUGCAGUUUGAAAGAGAUAGGAGGUUGCAAUGUGAUGUCAGGGUGUAGUUAGGCAGCAUCAGGUAGUAGGUUGUAGAAUGACUUUGCAAAUCAAGAAGAUGAAGCGUGUGAAGGCAACGACAAGGAUUAAAUGGUGGAAGUUGAAGAAGGAAGAGUUGUGCUCAGUGUUUCGGGGAGGCAAGUCUGGGUACAUAACAAUAGAAGUCUUUCAGGUUGGUGCAGCACAUGUGUGAGUGCAGAGUACAUUAGAUCGUCUUUGAUAGACGUGCUGACAGAAGAAGCCAGGCAGGAUUCUCUGUAAACCAUGAUGUCUGCAGAUCUGUAGCGAGAGCAGGUGGAAGCCUGCAGAGGCGGAGGUAUGCUCUGGAGAGAGGACGGAUGGAAUUCAGCAAAACAGAAUACGAGUGUGAAUGAGAGGGAGACAGGUGUAGCUGUGAGGAUGCAAGGAGGGGUGCAGCUUAAAUAUUUGGGGUCAAUCACCCAAAGCAAUGACGUGUGCACAACAGAGAUAAAGACAAGUGCAGGCAGGGUGGAGUGGGUGGAGACUUGUGACAGAAGGAUAGCAGCAAGCGUGACUCAGGUUCAGCUUUGGCUGCUUUUGAGUGGCGUGCACAUCCACAGACGUCUUUCUGCUGUAGGCCAGCACCGUGUCCUUCCUCUGUAUCUUAUUUAUUUUUUAUUUUAACUUGAAUUAAGGUUGAAGUAGAGCCCAUGGAAAUGAAUACAUAUUGAUUUGAUUAAGUUAACUGUGAUCAUAGUUCUCAUCAUAAGUCCAACAGCAGGCCAGUUUCAGCCGAUUCCUUCAGUCAGCCUCGAGCGACUGUCAAAGCUUCUCACUUUGUUUUUGUGUUGUGUAGGGAACAUUUGGCACAUGAUAGCUCAUGUUUUUGUCCAAGUUUGUGUGAAUAGUUUGACUGCUGUUUAGUCCAUGUUUUCAUUUGUGUCUUUAGCAACAAACUUAGUGCCAGAUUUUUUCCUUUUUUCCUUUUGAGCAGCACAAACGUUUGGGACGGAGAGUAUGGUGCGUGUGGUCUGUUUCCAGAUGGCAUUUAAUAUAAAUGUGGUCGAUUAUUACUGAGUGAGACAACAAUUAAAUAGCCAUCUGUUCUUUUUCAUGCUACAACUGUUUUAAUGAAAUAGCAGUGUGAUUAAAAGAGCUCACCUGAACGCACAUUAGAGGAAGAUAAACAUGUCAAACCCUUGGAGAAGUCCGUCCUACCACACGAAUGUAUUUCUGAUGAUCGUCAUAAAGAGGCGCGUGGUAAUAAAGAAAGCAACUCCCUGGGCUACGGCCAGAGCAUCUGCUGGAUGUUUUCCACCUGUAGACGGACAACAGAGCAGCAGAAGAGAGGGGGCUUAGGUGGAGGAAGAGAAGGCCGAAGGGAAAAGUGGUGACUAAGAAACAGGAAGACGCCACAGCUCUGAGAAGCUCGGAACAACCAUUGGGUGAGAGGUGGGAGAAACAAAGUGGGAGCAUGAGACAGAGAGAGAAGCAGCGUGUCAUGGUCUGGGUAGUUUUCCACGGCAUCGGCUCCUCCCCGCUGGGUGGAGUCUUUGUUGUUCCUCCCCUGAUGGCAAUCAUACCGGCAGUAUUUAUGACCUGCGCACUCAACUGGUCUUCGCCAGAUUAUCUGCCAACUUUACAGCUGAAACCCACCUACCACCUACCUACCUUUUUGAACUGCCAGUCUCUCCUGCCUGCCUCCCUGCAUUGCAUGCAGCACCCACCUCGACCUCUCCUGCCUUCCUCCUCCAAGCAACCCCCACCUGCAAGCUUUGCCCAGUCCCUGCACCCAGUUAUCCCUGCCAUCUAGUCAUAGUCAUAGUUUUUCGUUGUCUAGUUUAUGUUCCUUAAUUCUAGUCUGAGAUUUCUGUUAGCCUCUGAGCAUUGUGAAGAAAGACUCUUUUUGUUACGCCGCACCUAGCCUCCGGGUUUGAAACUGCACUUGAGUCCAUCCCAUUUCCACUGUGCAAUGACACAGCGACCGUUAUGUGAAAGUGAGAAGGAAAGGAGAGAAGAGGUGGAGCCUGCAGUGUGCUCUGUAGUGAUGUUUAUGAGGAGCUCUCUGCCAGCUCCGCUCCUCACAGAUCUCUCUUUCCACUGUUUACACCAGUCGCACACAAAGAACCCAGUGAAAGCUACAAUAUGUCCACCAUGCUAACAACACAUAGCAUUUAGCUUUUCUGACUUUAAUGCCUGCAUAGCUUUGGCCGCUGCUGGCACAGUGCAAUAUCCUCAGUAUACCCUUUUACUGCAGACAGAAGAAAAAUGAUCAUAUUAACUAAAAUGGAAUAGCACUGUAAUUAAGAAGUGACUCACGUAAUGACCAUGCUCAAAGCACUGACUAAUCAUACAUCCACAAAGUAUCAUUCUUGGAGGUAACGAGAGGUCACCGAGGUGUCGCUGGCACAGAGGGACAGUGGACAGCCUCACACCAUAUCAAAUAUUACAAGUAGGUUUUCGUAUGAUUCAAGUGCAACUAUCAUUUUUCAUGCAGGGAUGAGUCCUGCUCUACUCACAGUUGAUUUCUGCCCAGGUCUUGAAGAUUAUCGUACAUUGUAAGCAGGUAAUUAACCAUGUAUGGUGUUUCCUCCAGCUUAUGUUUAAAUAGUUUCACAGUCACAGCAGCUUCCCUGCAGCAGCCUGGGCCUCAUUCACUAAUAUUUGAGUGGAAAUGUUCUUAGCCUGUGCAAACCUGCCUCUCAUUUAUGAAACCUGAAGCCUGUUCUGUUCUUGCCACGCUCCGUAUGUUAGUGAAUCAGGAUCGUCUUGAACCAGCAGCCUGCACCUCCAAGGCAAGAGAUCAGGAGAAGUCUGAUUGUGAAAAUGUGAACAGCAGUGACUGAGGUCCAAAGGGGAAAGCAGAGGAGGCACAGCUUUCCAAAGUAUUUCCACGGAAAUGAUGGCAAUUUAAAAAGAAUAAAUAACGAGCUGAGUGUCGUUUCCCCUGGCAGACUCUUGGUGGCUCAAGUCCAAAAGGAGUUUGAAAAAGACAAACAGGCUACAAGGUGGAGGACACAGACCAUGUGAUCUGUCAGCCUGCGAGGAGAAACUCACUGCAAUAAUCAAACAAUGAUAGAAGUUAUUUUCAAUGAUAGAUAAGAACAUGUAAGGUACAAUAAGAUGAGAUAGGAGACACUGUAAUACAUGUUUAAACUGACAGACGAAUCCCAGUCAUGUGGACGCUGCACGUGUCGCGGUAGGGUAAGGCAAGGCAAGUUUAUUUGUAUAGCACAAUUCAACAACAAGGUGAUUCAAAGUGCUUUACAGAGACAUUAGAAACAAAAACAAAUA